rnacentral:rRNA from 1 species
UGCGUAGGGGGCUAGCGUUGUCCGGAAUGAUUGGGCGUAAAGCGUCUGCAGGUGGCAGUUCAAGUCUGCUGUCAAAGACCGGGGGCUUAACUUCGGAAAGGCAGUGGAAACUGAACAGCUAGAGUAUGGUAGGGGCAGAGGGAAUUCCUGGUGUAGCGGUGAAAUGCGUAGAGAUCAGGAAGAACAUCGGUGGCGAAGGCGCUCUGCUGGACCAUAACUGACACUCAGGGACGAAAGCUAGGGGAGCGAAUGGG